UCUCGCUCACUCUGAAAAAUUCAGAUUUCGUCAAAAUUUUGAUUUCCCUCCAUAACCCAUAUUCACUCCCCUCCCUCAACCCUAGUCUGCUCCUUUCUGUAUAGUUCACGCCUCCAAAUCCAACGGAUUUCGAUUCGCAAAUGUCACAACAAUCAGAUUUUUGGAACGAUGGAAUAAGAAAAGGGCUUUGUUGCAAAUCAAACGUUGGAAAGUGGCCAAUCAAUAAAACAAUUAUUCUUCGAUUAGUGUUUUUGUGUUUCUCAAACUAAGAAGAAGUUCAUUUGCUGUGAUAUACACGAGAUACAAUUACAGGCAACUUAAACCAAUUACAACAUAGCGGUGGAUAAUCAAGAAGAACCUUGGAGCAUUAAUGGACGUCAACAAGCCCGUCUUCCUUUUCUUCAUAAUGUUUAUUUAUUUGUGUUAUUGAACCCACAAGUUGUAUAUCUUUAUAUCUGUUGUAUUCGUUCACAUGUAUUACUCUAAGUGUACUACGUGUAGACAUUUGUAAAAACUUUUUGUAUGAUUUCCCUACAUUUACUUUGUGACGUACUGUUAGAGAUCAUUUUUCAACA